UUUGAGAUCUUGAACAUGGCACUAAUGACACCUUGUUUGCUCAUCAGUCUAUCUCGCGUUAAAGAAAAUUGUCAAAAAAUGCACGAGUUUUUUGCAAAACAGAUGAUUACUUUAGUUCCUCAUAUGAAGACCCAUAAAAACUUAGAUAUUGCCAAAAUUAUGACAAAAUUAUCCGAUGGAAAUAGGAAAAUUAUAGUUUCAACACUCGAGGAAGCCCGUAUUUUUGCUGAAUCUCGUGUUUUUCGCGAGAUAACUUGUGCAUUUCAUCUGACUGAAGCAAAAAUCAAUGAGUGCUCUUUAAUUGAGGAAAAAGUUGAGAAAUUCGUUCUAAUGAUAGGGAAUGACUCUGUUGUUCACUGGUUAGAAAAUAUUGCGCCCAAAAAGAGCAAGCAGUGGAAUGUCGUUGUUGAAGUUGAUUUUAUCCAUCCAAGAACUGGUUUGAUGAUCACGGAGCAAUCGACUUUCGAAUUUAUAUGCAGAGUAGCGAAUAAGAACUGUAUAAGUUUCAAUGGCUUAUAUUUACAUUGUGGAGGGUCAUAUUAUGCCAGUAAUGUUGACGAAAAAAGAAGAAUAAUCGAAACUUCUAUUAAGGAGCUGAAAGUCUUGGCUGAAAAGUUGCGCAAGGUCGGUAUUGAAGGAACUAUAUCAAUAGGGUCGACUCCUUCUUGCAGUCUUCAAAUCGAUAAAUUAUACAAGGGAGUUGACGAGGUUCACCCUGGCAACUACGUGUUUUAUGAUGCACAACAAAUGUCAUUUGGCUCCUGUAGCAUUGAUGAUAUUGCUUGCACUGUUUUGUCAAGUAUAAUCGGCAUAUACCCUGAUAGAAAUACGAUGGCGAUUGAUUGCGGCUGGGAAGCUAUAUCUCCACAGAAACCUGAAAGUGAAGACUACUUUAAUACGUUUGGCUAUGCUCGGUUUCGGGACCACUCUCACCUGAAGCUUCAGUCUGUCUCUCAAGAAAUUGGAAUAGUGACUACGAAUGACGGAAGCAAGCUAGACUUGGAGUUAUUUCACGUUGGAAAACAAUUAGAGCUGUAUCCGUGGCACUCAUGUGCUACCGCUUCUAUGCACGGAACGUAUUACGCAUAUGAUGGCGACAGAUAUACCGGAGAAUACACAAUUUUGAAGCCAUGUCGUGGAUGGUAGCCUCAUGUUUUGAUGCGUAUCCGGGCAAAAAUCUACAUCCCUGAAGAUAUUACCAAAUGUUGAUGACAUUUCACUCAGAAAAUUAUCGAGCAAUGGCUCCCUAAUUAUACCGUUAUAAUUUAUUUAGAUUUUAGUUUGUUUAUUUCAUAAAAUAUCAAAUGACAUGAGGCUUCUAUAUGUACUUGUAAAAAAAUAAAUAGUGUUUUAAUUGU